AUAAGUCAAAAAGUAGCCAACGUUAGCUAGCUAGCUAAUCAUAAACCGUAAGAACGGAUAUCAUAUCAGUAACAUUAGCAUGCUAGCUAUCUGGCUGGCUAGCAGCUGAGUUAGUUACUACAGUCACGUUUUUCUGCAAGAUUUGAUUUGGCAAGACAUAUACAGCUAGCACUGGGUUGAUGGUUAACGGUAACUCUUGUUUGCGUGGUCAGCUGCUGUACAGUAGUCAGCAAAUGGCUGUUUAAACUGUGUUUACAUAGCUACCUAGGUACUUUUUUUAGCAGCUAACGUUAGCUAACUUGUUGUAAACAAACCCAUUUCGCCCAGCGCACGGUCUGUUAUGCACAUUAAUGAACCAUACCUGAAGAAGUUGAAAAAACAUCGAAUCUGACAUAUUUCUUACUCUACUUUGGGACAGUUCUUUACAGCAAAAACUCAUACACUUCAAAUUGACAAAACUGAUGCUGUUAUUUGACUUCAGAGAUAUUUGACACAACAAAAACCUUACAGCUAAGACACGACAGUGAGUGAGUCUGGCAAGCCACGUGCAUACCGUAGUUUAAAUGAUCUGGUCCACAAAAACCUUCUUCGCAGUGGAAUUUAUAAUAACAUUACCCAGUGCUCAUUUGUUUACAAUAAGAAAUUAUUUGGUCAGGGUUGUGUUUACACUGAGAAGAUUGAACAUGGUUCACUUAAGAAGUCUAAUGUUUUGCGCAAGAUUAAGGACUUGGAUUCCCUCCCCAUGGUUACCAAGGAUGGAUUUAGAAACAUUGUGGCAUUGCAAAGUGAUGCACCCCUGCAGAUGGGCCACAAACAUUACCUGUCUCUUUCAGGAAUAAUGAGGGUCCUGAAGGCAGAGUAUAGGUUCUGGAUGGUAAAAUUAGAAUUUCAGUUGCUAACUAUUGUGAGAAUUACAAUGGUGAUUACCUGAACCAGACUUACUUCGAGGUCGCAGAUCAACGUGUAGAAUGAGCUGUGUCCAGAGUGGUACCAGAGACUGAAUGUUGGAACUGUGCUCUACCUCCAAAACUACACCCUCAAGCAGAGUAAUCCAAACAGGUCUCGACCUGACAUAGACAACCACAGAAUGAAGAGCUUUCACUCAGUAGGACAGCAUUAUGCUGAAGAAGACUGUUGUUGGUGGCCAUUAUUUCUUCCCUCACACCCCUCAGAUAUUCACACAGUCAGUGGCAGAUGGCUCAGCUCAAGUUCUUCUGGUUGCUGCAAAUUACCUAAAGAGGGAGAUGGAUGGUCUGCAUUAUUGUCCACACAAGCAGCUGGCAAUCCAAGGUCAGAUCAUUGCUGUGCAAUAUGUGGCAUGGCCAGAGGAGGCACUGUCAGACCAGGUAGGCUUUAUUGCUUGCUUGCUUUACAGUGGGUUAUACAAUGAACUUAAGGAGGAUCUUUUGGUCAGCUGUCCUGCCAAAAUCAAAAUUUUAACAGUCUUGAUGAAAAUAACCCAUUAUGUGACAUUUUAUCAGGUAACAAUAAUGUAAAUGCCUGUGCCAAAGCCUGCCACCUUAUCCUCCAACGGAUACUUCAUUUUUAUAAGGGCCCAAUUGUCCUUUUAUCCGCUGUACUUUAUGCAUAAAUGUGUAUAGAAUAUAUAUUACGCCUGUACCAUGUUUGCCUAUGAUUGUUUUUAGUGUUUCAAAACUCAAUUUGAGUGGUCCACAAUGUGGUUUAAAAAAGAAAAUCUGUAUUAUAGUAUCAUAGUGGAGUGACACGUCAAUACAUUUUUCUAACUCUAGAUACAUUGAGUACACAAAACAUUAAGAACACAUGCUCUGUCCAUGACAGACUGACCAGUUCAAUGCAAUGAUCCCUCAUUGAUGUCACUUGUUAAAUCCACUUCAAUCAAUGUAUAUGAAGCGGAGGUUAAAACAUGAUUUUUAAGCUUUGAGACAUUUUAAUUUAACCCUUAUUUUACCAGGUAAGUUGACUGAGAACACAUUCUCAUUUACAGCAAUGACCUGGAGUAUAGUUACAGAGGAGAUAAAUGAGCCAAUUGGAAUGAAGGCCAGAUUGGGAAUUUAGCCAGGAUACCAGGGUUAACGCCCCUACUCUUACAAUAAAUGCCAUGGGAUCUUUAGUGACCACAGAGAGUCAGGACACCCAUUUAACGUCCCAUCUGAAAGACGACAUCCUACUCAGGACAAUGUUCCUAAUCACUGCCCUAGGGCAUUGGGAUAUUUGUUGUUUGUUUUUUUGACCAAAGGAAACAGUGCCUCCUACUGGCCCUCUAACACCACUUCCAGCAGCAUCUGGCAAGCCAGCAGUAUGCUGCAGGGUGGUGUGCUGCAGGGUGGUGUGCUGCAGGGUGGUGUGCUGCAGGGUGGUGUGCUGCAGGGUGGUGUGCUGCAGGGUGGUUUGCUGUGCAUGUGUGCCAUUCAGGGGGGUGAAUGGGCAAGACAAAAGAUUUAAGUGCCUUUGAACAGGGUAUGGUAGUAGGUGCCAGGCACACCGGUUUGUGUCAAGAACUGCAACACUGCUGGGUUUUUCACGCUCAACAGUUUCCCAUGUUUAUCAAGAAUGGUCCACUACUCAAUGGACUUCAAGCCAACUUAACACAACUGUGGGAAGCAUUGGAGUCAACAUGGGCCAGCAUCCCUGUGGAAUGGUUUUGACGCCUUAUAGCGGUGCGCAACUCAAUAUUAGGAAGGUGUUCCUAAUGUUUUCUAUACUCAGUGCAUAUAACACAUUUCAUGUUAUUUUAACACACUAAUUCUCUUUUUCUAAAGUCGAUGCAUUGUUUUUUUUUUACAAGAAAAGGAACAGGACAGGAUACAUUGAAAGACAAAAAAACAACAGUUGCCUGUACAUAACUUUAUAGGAAUGAUUUGGCAUUGGUAAGUCAAGUUUAGAAUACGGUUCAGUCUGUGGGUGAGCCUGUUGUGGCUGUACCUAAUCCACAAAGUGAUCAGAAAACUGUAGACGUAACUGAAACACAGGGAAACAGCACCAUCUGGUGUACAGAGCUCACUCAGCAGACGGGGGAAAAACAACCCAAGAAGAGGUGAGUUUCAAAACACAGGUGGGCUAUAAAACAUUACUAAACAUUUCAAAUUGUACUUGUAACUCCCCUUUACUACGGCAUUUGAAAUUGUAUUUGUAUAUUUUACAUUGUCAUGAUGACGUCACUUGCGUGUUUUAGAAUAAUUGUAUUUUGUUUUUUAGAGUGAUGAAGCAAUGCUACAUCACUCGUGCCAGGAUGCAAGAGAAAAGAGAAGCUGGCCGUGGCUUUACAGAAUAGGAGCUAGUGGAGCAGGAAGAGGAGAGUGAUUCUGAAUCAGAGGAAGAAGUUGGUCCUCUAGAAGGAAACCCAGACCAAACCAGAGCCAGUGAACAACAAAGUCCAUCAGAAUGACGGCGCUCCAAGAGAGAGUGGUUACCUACUGUGGAUGGAUCAUCGGGGAAAGCAGCUCGUGGCUGAAGCAGAGAUGAGAAGUGUCAGAAUAUUUGGGUCAAUGACGAAUAAGGUUUUCAAAAACAUUUUAAAAGGGAAAAAUAUUAAUUUCGAAACAGUUUUUAUGUUCCCUUGAGUGUUACUUACAAUUUGUAUGCACAUUCAGGAUUUGUCGCUUUUUAUGCAACUUCAAUUUACCACCUAAAAAAGUCAUCCUGUGUGACCAUUCAUUUUUUUAUAUAAAAACUGUUUUCUGACCAUUAUUUCUAGCAAAGAAGAGUAAAAUAUGAAUAUUAACAUGGUCUCAGUUAUUCAACAUCAAAGAAGUUAAAAAUUACAGUAUAAUUUUUACAUUUUUGUACUUUUCACUGGACGAUCCCACAUUUUGAAUGACUGUCAACUAAAACUUCUGUUAGAGAAAUUAAAUCCAUAUACAAUUUUACAAAAAUGCAUUUUUCUCUUAUAGACGAGAUUCUUUCUGCAUUUUUUUAGACAAUGAAAUAAUGCAAUUGUUUUUAACCA